rnacentral:rRNA from 1 species
AGUGAACGCUGGCGGUAGGCCUAACACAUGCAAGUCGAACGGCAGCACAGUAAGAGCUUGCUCUUACGGGUGGCGAGUGGCGGACGGGUGAGGAAUACAUCGUAAUCUACUUUUUCGUGGGGGAUAACGUAGGGAAACUUACGCUAAUACCGCAUACGACCUACGGGUGAAAGCAGGGGAUCUUCGGACCUUGCGCGAUUGAAUGAGCCGAUGUCGGAUUAGCUAGUUGGCGGGGUAAAGGCCCACCAAGGCGACGAUCCGUAGCUGGUCUGAGAGGAUGAUCAGCCACACUGGAACUGAGACACGGUCCAGACUCCUACGGGAGGCAGCAGUGGGGAAUAUUGGACAAUGGGCGCAAGCCUGAUCCAACCAUACCGCGUGGGUGAAGAAGGCCUUCGGGUUGUAAAGCCCUUUUGUUGGGAAAGAAAAGCAGCAGGUUAAUACCCCGCUGUUCUGACGGUACCAAAAGAAUAAGCACCGGCUAACUUCGUG